GGGGAGCUCGGCCCGGGCUGUUCGCUGGGCCGGGAGGCGGCAGCGCCCCCGGGCCCCCCUAGUUCGGACUAUUCAUUCAAGUUCCUGGGGCCCUGCGCCCGAUUCGGAGGUGGCACCCGCCGCCCUCCCUGCCUCUGUGCCCCCGUUUCCAGCCACCGCGCGGAAAUUUAGGUCAAGGACGCCGGGAGCACACCCACACCCUGCGCUCCCAGGGCAGUCCUCGAGAACCCCGGGAUCUGGGGGGCUUGCGGAUGGAGGAGACCCUCCUGCACGAACACCAGCCACAAGUUUUAUUUUCCCUUCGCGCGGCAAGUUCUCUGGCUCCCGCUCCACACUGGCACGUCCUGCACGGCUCCCCGCCCUUCCCCGCCAGAGGCAGAAGUCAGUGGCUACCUUCCUGAUGGAGACUUGAACAAACUGUUAAGUGGUGAGCUGGGAGGAGACCUGAUGGGGCGGGGCCCCGAGCACUGCAGUGUCCAAGCCAGAGACUGAUAAAGGACUAAAGGAGAAGGCUACUACGUCACUGCACUGUUUUUCUUAAGAUUUGGAAAUCUGGUGUUUUGGCUAACGAGUUGUGUUCCUCUUCGCCUCUUAUGACUCUCCUUUCUCACCUCCAGUUCAAAAUGACUGCAAGCAGCCAAGCCACCAACUCCGUCUUGAUGAAAGGGGCCGGGCUCCCAGAAGAAAAUAGCUUUGCCUUUCAACUCCACCUGGAAACGGUUGACAUGGCGCUACCUUCACUCAAGCCUCUCCACUAGCCUUGGCGCUUCCCCCAUCUCUGCCAAGGCUGGCCCCUGCCAAGCCAAUCUAAAUAUCACAGCUGGAAGUACAGGGUCUCCCCCGCCCCCAACCCUUUCUCCCACACUCUAUACGUUGUACCUUGGGACCUUUCAACAUUCUCUAUGGUCAUUCUGAACACCCGCACCCUGCCCAUCCACUACGGCAACAGGCUCACAGACCCACAACUACACAUUAGAUUUUUUAAAAAAAACUUUUGUUCCCCCUUUACACAAUACAGGAGGUGGCCACAGCAGCCGGACACAGCACCUCAACAGU